rnacentral:rRNA from 1 species
UACGUAGGGGGCGAGCGUUGUUCGGAAUUAUUGGGCGUAAAGGGCGUGUAGGCGGUGCGGUAAGUCGGACGUGAAAUCUCCGGGCUUAACCCGGAGGGGUCGUUCGAAACUGCCGUGCUCGAGUGUGGGAGAGGGAAGCGGAAUUCCCGGUGUAGCGGUGAAAUGCGUAGAUAUCGGAAGGAACACCUGUGGCGAAAGCGGCUCACUGGACCAUAACUGACGCUGAGGCGCGAAAGCUAGGGGAGCAAACAGG